rnacentral:rRNA from 1 species
UACGUAGGGACCAAGCGUUGUUCGGAUUUACUGGGCGUAAAGGGCGCGUAGGCGGCGCGGUAAGUCACUUGUGAAAUCUCUGAGCUUAACUCAGAACGGCCAAGUGAUACUGCAGUGCUAGAGUGUGGAAGGGGCAAUCGGAAUUCUUGGUGUAGCGGUGAAAUGCGUAGAUAUCAAGAGGAACACCUGAGGUGAAGACGGGUUGCUGGGCCAACACUGACGCUGAGGCGCGAAAGCCAGGGGAGCAAAC